GGCAAGAUGGUUGGUGAUGGUUGGAUUCUGCCUGUCCUGCCUGCUCUGAGCACUAAGCUACCAUGCCAGCAGCUUUCAUUAGACAAGCAGAAGCUAAGUGACCUUAUGAACGCUUUUCUUCUCUUACAGGUAUUUAUGUUUGGCCAAUAGGUCCAAAAUUAUGUUGGUGAGAUCAGACAGAAAGAUGGAGAGGCAGCCAGCCUCCUGUGGCCCAUGAGGUUAAGGAUGGAGCUGGAAACAGAAAGGAACAGGAAACGGAGGCAGUUGGGAGUUCCAACAAUAGAAAGCCUCCAGCCGAGCAGCAGGGAGGAAAGGAAGAGCUGGGGCUCAGUCACUCAAACCGACCCACGUGCCCAGGUUGUUGCCCUCAAAACCUCACUGCCUGUUAUGCCACUGCUGAGAUCAUGAUCUUGGAAGAAAGCAGAUGAGGAUUGUGAAUGAGCAGAAGCUGUGAGUAUCUCUCCGAGAGACGAAUAAAAGUUAUUGUAUUAUAGAAGAUCACAGCAGAGUCUAAAGAGAAACGUGGAAGUGGCACCGUGUGUACUACGCAGAUCCCCAACAUACUGGAAUAAUACACUCACCUUGUCCACAAUGCAGAUCUGCUUCUUGCUUUGCACAUCAAGGAUCUCCACUUCAAAGUAAGUGAUUUUUGAAUGUUUGAGCACUGGUGGUGGUUUGAAAUGGCCAGCAGAAAGCACCAGCUGAGAGAAGUUGAAAAAAGUGCGCGUGUUUUGUGACAUGGACAGAGGUCCUCCAUGAGCUGAAAGAUCCUUCUUGAGUUCCGAGGCGCUGGUCUUCCUUCUCCUGAGCAUUGUAUGACCCAGCAACAGCUACUGUCAUGUCAAUAGGGGACAGUUCCAGGGGGAAGCCUUCCUUCCCCGCAUCAGUUAAAUACAAUCACGGACUGAUGAGACAUGAAAGGUCAAGUGGUGUUCCAUUUUAAGAGUACUGUCAUAUUUAGCAGGAGUGAAAACAAUGGCUCCAUAAUCCAAGUCUAUAUUUAACCAGCUAUUGUGAUGUGCCGUAUGUCUGGCUUUUUUUCUCCCUUUUAAUUUAAACCAGCGUUUGAAACAACACAUUGUACUUUUUCCCUAGCACGUUAAGUCAGAUCCCAAAAUUCCAGAGCCCCGGAGAAAUCAGAAAUGAAUGCACUGAAUUCCAUUGUUAUCUACUGAG